GGCGCCAUCGUCUAUCGGCUAGGACACAGGGUUUUCAUCCCUGUAAGCAGGGUUCGAUUCCCUGUGGCGUCACCA
rnacentral:tRNA from 1 species